rnacentral:rRNA from 1 species
UACGGGGGGAGCAAGCGUUGUUCGGAUUUACUGGGCGUAAAGGGCGCGUAGGCGGCCAGCACAAGUCAGUUGUGAAAUCUCCGGGCUUAACCCGGAAAGGUCAGCCGAUACUGCGGGGCUAGAGUGCAGGAAGGGGCAACUGGAAUUCUCGGUGGUAGCGGUGAAAUGCGUAGAUAAUCGAGAGGAACACCUGCGGCGAAG